UGGCCGCACACGACUGGCGCAGGUGGGGAACCACCAGGGAGUGAAACGGUCGGAGCAUCGCCCGCCUGGGUGUUCCGG
rnacentral:ncRNA from 2 species